rnacentral:rRNA from 1 species
CGGCGUGCCUAAUACAUGCAAGUCGAACGCAUUGUGGUUGAAAUGAUAUGAAGAACUUGUUCAGAUUUGAUUUCAACAUUGCAAUGAGUGGCGAACGGGUGAGUAACACGUGGGAAACCUACCUCUUAGCAGGGAUAACAUUGGAAACAAUGCUAAUACCGUAUAAUAAUUAAAACCGCAUGGGUUUUAGUUUAAAAGAUGGUCUUGCUAUCACUAAGAGAUGGUCCCGCGGUGUAUUAGUUAGUUGGUGAGGUAAUGGCUCACCAAGACAAUGAUACAUAGCCGAGUUGAGAGACUGACCGGCCACAAUGGGACUGAGACACGGCCCCAUACUCCUACGGGAGGCAGCAGUAGGGAAUCUUCCACAAUGGACGAAAGUCUGAUGGAGCAACGCCGCGUGUGUGAUGAAGGGUUUCGGCUCGUAAAACACUGUUGUAAGAGAAGAAUGACAUUGAGAGUAACUGUUCAAUGUGUGACGGUAUCUUACCAGAAAGGAACGGCUAAAUACGUG